AGCGAACGCUGGCGGCAGGCCUAACACAUGCAAGUCGAGCGCCCAGCAAUGGGAGCGGCAGACGGGAUAGUAACACGUGGGAACGUACCUUUCAGUUCGGAACAACCCAGGGAAACGUUGGGCUAAUACCGAAUACGUCCGUAAGGAGAAAGAUUUAUCGCUGAAAGAUCGGCCCGCGUCUGAUUAGCUAGUUGGUGAGGUAAUGGCUCACCAAGGCGACGAUCAGUAGCUGGUCUGAGAGGAUGAUCAGCAUCACU
rnacentral:rRNA from 1 species